UUGUUUACCGAGCCCUAAUCCUUUUUCCUCCUCAUCGCUGAUUUCUUCUCUUCUUCCCUCAAUCUCGCCGCCAACUCAUCCCCUCCUCCCGAUCUCUCUCGCUCAACGCCGACCACCUCGUCUUCUUCUUCCCCUUCGUUGAGCUCGCACCGCCGCCGACGCAUCUCUCCAGAGCUUUCUACUCUCCUUUCCCGAUUCUCCCUCUCACCUCUGCUCGAUCCUUUUCUUCCCCGACGCCGACGCUAAGGGAGCUGAUCGUCGGUGACUGAGUAUCCCUCCUCUUCCCGAUCUCACCGUCGCGGACACCUGAUCGUUGCCACUUGGACGUCGUCGAUCUCCACGGCCAUUAGUACCGAACGCGGCCACGAAGGGAAGGAAUCCAACCCCUCUUCCGAUUUGCCGGCUGUGCCCUAGUCCCCAACCACCGCCGUCCUUGUCGCAGCACUUGGGCGCCACACCUCCUACCACUUGUCUACCCUAGGACCGGUUCUGGACUUCCCUCCAGAUCGCUGACCACAGUGCUCAUUCAAUCGACUCACUAAUCGUAGAUCCAAGGCUGCAGAAUCUCAGCUAGAUCACUAUUCUUCCUCCUUGUCUGAUCUCCAGCAACAACCAAAUCUAAAAUUUGAGGAGGUAAUUGGAUUGCUGUUGGAACGGAAGAAUCAGAGGAGGUGUUUGGGUGGCUAUCAGAACAACUAGUUUGCUUCUGGAAGAGUAGGGGAUUGGUGGAGAAGAUUUGACAUUAGGGUACCAGGUUGUUUAUGGUGUCGCUUGGAGUAUCCUGUCUGCUGGUCCCCACGUCACAUCAGA